AUUUUGGACAAUGGGGGAAACCCUGAUCCAGCCAUCCCGCGUGUAUGAUGAAGGCCUUCGGGUUGUAAAGUACUUUUGGCAGAGAAGAAAAGGCAUCCCCUAAUACGGGAUGCUGCUGACGGUAUCUGCAGAAUAAGCACCGGCUAACUACGUGCCAGCAGCCGCGGUAAAACGUAGGACGCGAGCGUUAUCCGGAUUUACUGGGCGUAAAGCGCGGGCAGGCGGUGGUCCAAGUCGGACGUGAAAGCUCCCGGCUCAACUGGGAGAGGUCGUUCGAAACUGGGCCGCUAGAGGGCAGUAGAGGGGCGUGGAAUUCCACGUGUAGCAGUGAAAUGCGUAGAUAUGUGGAGGAAUACCGAUGGCGAAGGCAGCCCCCUGGGAUAAUACUGACGCUCAGACACGAAAGCGUGGGGAGCAAACAGG
rnacentral:rRNA from 1 species